rnacentral:misc_RNA from 1 species
UGAAUACUGCUGUCUACUUGCAAAAUAGACUUCCUACAAGGGCUGUGAAUGGUAUGACUCCUUUAGAAGCUUGGAGUGGAUUUAAGCCUUCAGUCAAACAUUUGAAAAUCUUUGGCUCCAUUUGUUAUGCUCAUAUACCAGAUGUAAAAAGGGACAAGCUUGAUGAAAAGGCUGAAAAGUGUAUUUUGAUUGGCUAUAGCUCUCAAUCUAAGGGUUAUAGAGUUUUCAACAUUAAAACAAGGAAGGUUUUUGUCAGCAGAGAUGUAAAGGUGGAUGAGGAUGCUUAUUGGGAUUGGAAUGAUUCUCAGGUUCAAGAGAGGCCUGCAAAAGUUAUUGAAGAUAAAAGUUCAAAUUCAGAUUUGGCACCCGAAUCUGAAAGUGAUGAUGAGUAUGCUGUUAGAGGUACUAGACCAAUUUCUUAAAUUUACCAUAGAUGCAGCAGAACAAUUGUUGAGCCUUCCACAUUUGAAGAUGCUUGUGAUGUUGAAGAAUGGAAGUUAGCAAUGAAGGAAGAAAUAACAAUGAUUGAGAAGAACAAAACCUGGAAGUUAGUUGAUAAACCAGAAAACAAGCAAGUUAUUGGGGUUAAAUGGGUGUACAGGCUGAAAUUAAAUCCCAAUGGUUCAAUCAACAAAUACAAAGCAAGGCUGGUAGUUAAGGGGUACUCUCAACAGCCAGGAGUUGAUUUCACUGAGACUUUUGCACCAGUAGCAAGAAUGGACACUAUUCGAAUUUUGAUUGGUCUAGCAGCUCAAUUGAAGUGGAAAAUUUGCCAUUUAGAUGUUAAAUCAGCAUUUUUAAAUGGCUAUCUUGAGGAGGAGAUUUAUGUUGCUCAACCUGAAGGCUUCAUUGUCCAAGGAAGCGAAGAUAAAGUAUAUAAACUGGAGAAAGCACUAUAUGGUUUAAAACAGGCACCUUGGGCCUGGUACAGCAGGAUAGACUCCUAUUUGUGCUGUAAAAAUAUCAGGAGUGAGAAUGAUGCUGCUCUAUAAGUGAAGAGAUUCUCCAAUGAUGAUGUUCUUAUUGUGUCACUCUAUGUAGAUGAUUUGCUGGUGACAGGAAACAAUAUGGAAGAGUUGAUAAAUUUCAAGAAUGAAAUGCAGAAGCAAUUUGAGAUGACUGAUCUUGGUGAUAUGAAAUAUUUCCUAGGACUUGAAGUUCAUCAGUCCAUGGAUGGAAUUUUCAUUUGUCAGCAAAAGUAUGCUCAGGAAAUACUGAAGAAAUUCAAGAUGCAAGAUAGCAAACCAGUUCCAACUCCACUGGUUUUGAAUGCCAAGCUUUCUAAGGAAGAUGGUGAUGAAAUGGCAGAUGCAAGAAGCUAUAGAAGUUUGAUUGGAAGCCUCUUAUAUCUGACUGCCACAAGAUCCGAUUUAAUGUAUUCAGCUAGUCUUCUUUCCAGAUUUAUGCAACAGCCAUCACAAACUCA